rnacentral:lncRNA from 1 species
AUGGCUAGAAACAUCCCCUGGAGAUGCAAGGCGCCCAGGGCUCCUGGUAAAGAGCACAGCCAGGGAGGAAGUGCCCUGAGGCUGCUGGGCGAGCCGGAAGUGGGAGCUGUUUCUAGCACAGAGGAUGUGGCUCAAGACAAGCUGAGGAAGGCGCUUGUUCCUGUGGGAAGAUUCUGUUUGCAGCCCCUUCUCCACCUCCCUGAACACAAGGCUCUGGCGUUCCUUUCUUUUUUUUUUUCACAUGAUGGAUUUACCCGCCCUGGGGAAGGUCACGGAAACCUGGCUUGGGAUGUUUGCUUGUGCUUGUUUUCAGUUAUUGAUUUAAUACAAUUAAAUAUAUCAAUGAAACCCUAGUCAUUUCUCGACAGUACUUUUUGCAAGGGCUGUGCGCACACACACGUUCAGGAAAGUUAGUAAAGAAAAGAGAAGCUUGAGAACGUUCGGCUGCGCAGGGAGCUGCAAGGCGGGCUGAGCAUCCGUCACCUCGUCCCACUCCCUGCAUCCGGGCUGGGAAUCCAGCAGCAGCAGCCGCCGCCCGCCUUCAGGGGCCCGGCGCCCGGGCGGGGUAGGCAGAGCCCCGCGCCGCGGGCGGGACCGGGGCUUUGGGGGGAGAUAGAACCGCGGGUAGGGAGGG